CGCACGGAUGUCCUGCCUCAGAACUGUGGGAUCUGUUGGGUAAAGACUUUGCUAACUUUGGUUUAUUUAUUCAUUUUGAAAUUUAAAUUCAUUUUAACAUUUAAUUAAUUUUUUUUUUAAUGUAAAGAAUCCACGACUUUCUAUAAUGAUCCAGGGCUGUAUAUCUCAAUUUGUGUAUGCAGAAAGGGAGAAGAUUUGCCAGAUGUCAGAAGGAGAGACUUGGAGAGAAGCUGGAGCAGAGCAGGAGGGCAGGGAGAAGUGACAUGCAAGCAAGUCUAACGACAUCUACUUGAAGGACAAAAUGCAGAUUAAUAGUCCCAUAACUUCAAGCGCUCCUAUUUCCUGGACUGUGAAAACAGAAGCACAUGCAUCGGAUUGCAUCUCAAUGAAACAGGACUCAGCUUCCCCAUCUUUAACUGGCCCUGCAGACCUAGAUGAAAAUACUGCUGAGUGUUCACUGGCUAACAGUGGGACAGAGCUGCCCAGGGAUGAGCGUUAAGCCCAGUUCAUAAAGGAAAACGAAAACCACAGUCUGAUCACACAGACAUUCUACAACUGAGCACUGAGAAAAAGAACGACACAAAUGAACCUACUUACAAAACAGAAAGAGAUUCACAGACUUAGGAAACGAACUAAUGGUUGUUGUGUGGAAGGGACAAAUAGGGAGUUUGGGAUGGACAUGUACACAUGGAUACAUGUGUACAUGGUUAAAAUGGAUACAUGGAUAACCAGCAAGGACCUGCUGUACAGCACAGGGAACUCUGCUCAAUAUUAUGUGGUAGCCUGGAUGGGAGGGGAGUUUGGGGGAGACUGAAUACAUGUACAUGUAUGGCUAAGUCCCUUCUCUGUUCGCCUGAAACUAUCACAACAUUGUUAACUGGCUAGACCCCAGCACAAAAUAAAAAGUUUAAAACAACAACAACAACAAACGGUCUUGCAUUGAUAAGAGAAUGGGUUAUUGUACAAAUUGUAUUUGUACAAUAUUUUCUGGAAGAAAAUAAAGCCAGACGAACAACCUCA